rnacentral:rRNA from 1 species
ACGAACGCUGGCGGCAUGCCUAACACAUGCAAGUCGAACGAGACCUUCGGGUCUAGUGGCGCACGGGUGCGUAACGCGUGGGAACCUGCCCUUAGGUUCGGAAUAACUCCCCGAAAGGGGUGCUAAUACCGGAUAAUGUCUUCGGACCAAAGAUUUAUCGCCUUUGGAUGGGCCCGCGUUGGAUUAGCUGGUUGGUAGGGUAAAAGCCUACCAAGGCGACGAUCCAUAGCUGGUCUGAGAGGAUGAUCAGCCACACUGGGACUGAGACACGGCCCAGACUCCUACGGGAGGCAGCAGUGGGGAAUAUUGGACGAUGGGCGAAAGCCUGAUCCAGCAAUGCCGCGUGAGUGAUGAAGGCCUUAGGGUUGUAAAGCUCUUUUACCCGGGAUGAUAAUGACAGUACCGGGAGAAUAAGCUCCGGCUAACUCCGUG